CAAGACAGUAGUUUAAGAAAAAUAUUGGCAUUGGAAGCCAAAGAUUGGAUGGAAGUUCUACUUCUUGA
rnacentral:tRNA from 1 species